GCAGGAGUAGGAGAGGGAGUUUUUACUGUUACUCGCCGCCCUCAAACCAAUCAUUUAUGUCAUAUUAUCUGGUUAUUUGCCCACCCCGGUCCAUAUGGGACCCAACGGAAUGAGUCUGCCCCUCGCAUGCUCUUUCUAUGCUAUUUUGACAAAUCCAAUUUUGCUGGAAAG